UGCCCAUUGGCCCAGUGGUUAAGGCGUCUGACUGUUAGCAAACACGAAAUCAGAAGAUCCCUGGUUCGACCCCAGGAUGGGCAG